AGAGUUUGAUCCUGGCUCAGGAUGAACGCUAGCGACAGGCUUAACACAUGCAAGUCGAGGGGCAGCGAGGGAGUGGCAACACUUCUGUCGGCGACCGGCGCACGGGUGAGUAACGCGUAUGCAACCUGCCCUUCACAGGGGGAUAACCGGGAGAAAUUCCGACUAAUACCGCAUACGUCCUCCGGGGGCAUCCCCUGGGGAUGAAAGAUUUAUCGGUGAAGGAUGGGCAUGCGUGAUAUUAGGUAGUUGGCGGGGCAACGGCCCACCAAGCCCACGAUAUCUAGGGGUUCUGAGAGGAAGGUCCCCCACAUUGGUACUGAGACACGGACCAAACUCCUACGGGAGGCAGCAGUGAGGAAUAUUGGUCAAUGGACGAGAGUCUGAACCAGCCAAGUCGCGUGAAGGAAGACGGAUCUAUGGUUUGUAAACUUCUUUAGUGCGGGAACAAAGCGGCGUCGUGACGCCGGAUGAGUGUACCGCAAGAAUAAGCAUCGGCUAACUCCGUGCCAGCAGCCGCGGUAAUACGGAGGAUGCGAGCGUUAUCCGGAUUUAUUGGGUUUAAAGGGAGCGCAGGCUGCGAGGCAAGUCAGCGGUCAAAUGUCGGGGCUCAACCCCGGCCUGCCGUUGAAACUGUCCUGCUAGAGUUCGAGUGAGGUAUGCGGAAUGCGUUGUGUAGCGGUGAAAUGCAUAGAUAUGACGCAGAACUCCGAUUGCGAAGGCAGCAUACCAACUCGCGACUGACGCUGAGGCUCGAAAGCGUGGGUAUCGAACAGGAUUAGAUACCCUGGUAGUCCACGCAGUAAACGAUGAAUACUAACUGUUCGGAGGGCGACCUCUGAGUGGUAAAGCGAAAGUGUUAAGUACUCCACCUGGGGAGUACGCCGGCAACGGUGAAACUCAAAUGAAUUGACGGA
rnacentral:rRNA from 1 species